rnacentral:rRNA from 1 species
AACGAACGCUGGCGGCAUGCCUAACACAUGCAAGUCGAACGAGACCUUCCGGCCUAGUGGCGCACGGGUGCGUACCGCGUGGGAACCUGCCCUUAGGUUCGGAGUAACUCCCCGAAGGGGGUCCUAAUACCGGAUAAUGUCUUCGGACCAAAGGUUUAUGGCGUUUGGAUGGGACGGGGUUGGGUUAGCUAGUUGUUAGGGUAAAAGCCUACCACGGCGAGGAUGCAUAGCUGGUCUGAGAGGAUGAUCAGUUACACUGGGACUGAGACACGGCCCAGAAUCCUACGGGAGGGAGCAGUGGGGAAUAUUGUAAAAUGGGCGAAAGGCUGAUCCAGCAAUGGCGCGUGAGUGAUGAAGGCCUUAGGGUUGUAAAGCUCUUUUACUCGGGAUGAUAAUGACAGUACCGGGAGAAUAAGCUCCGGCUAACUCCGUG